GAGGACUUAGCUUAAUUAAAGUGUUUGAUUUGCAUUCAAUUGAUGUGAGGUAAUGUCUUGCAGUCCUUA
rnacentral:tRNA from 1 species